GGUAGUAGUGGUAGUGGUGGUUGUGACAGUGAAGGGACAGUGACAGCUACAGUGGCAUGUGUGGUGCAGGUGGUGAAGCCGGACACACGUUGCUUAUUUCCGUGAAGUGCUUUGGUGUUAGUGAUCAAGAUGAAAUCAUACGAGCAACAAAUAAUUAAGCGUUCGUCAUUGUCUUUCAUGAGCUCAAUGAAAGUGGAGUGCGACAAAUGGUACAAGAUGACAGAGUGCGUGACAUUAGCGAGACUGAUAAGAAAAAGUAAUACGCCACCAAACUGUGAACGGCAUAACAUUUGAGAGAGGGACCCAGCGUGUGAAGGUGAAGGUGAAGGUGAGGGUGAUGCAACUGGGGUGAGAUAAGCACGCGCCGCAGCCUCAAAAGUCAUCAAACUAGUGCCAAAAUCAACCAGUGCCAGCUCAUCUCAGUGCGGUGUGAGUGUCAUUACAGGGUACACGCCAAACACUUUAAAUCUUGUAUGGCGGGAAGGGAAAUUACUUAGAGGGGAUCAAUACGUGAAAAAAAAUGUUAUAUUCUAAGUAACAACUGACGAAUAAUUAACUACAAAAUUUCUGACCCUUGAUAU